UCGUAUCUUUGGCUCUGUAACUUGCAGUGCCCACCCAUAUCCCGCCCCCUGACACUGAACUCAGUCAUGUGACUUGCUCUGGCCAAUGGGAUGUUGGCAGACAUAACACAAGCAGAGGAUUGAAAAGCACUCCAUGAUUGGGCCUGCUUUCUCUUCCCGAUGUCUGCUUCCUCUGCUAGCACCAUGAGAACGUGCCCAGGCCAGCCUGCUGGAGGAUCAGAGACACGUGGGACACGUGGAACAGAGCACAGCUGCUCCAGCUGAGGCCAGCCUAUAUCGACCAAGGCCCAGCCAACACCCAGACACAGGAAAACAAGCCUCCUUGCCCUCCUGGGAGAUCUCAGCCACCCUGUCUGAAGCAUUUCGUGUGCAAAUGGAGGUAUCAUUUCACCUUUUGGAGGAUGUGUGCUGACUACCUAACAGAGGAGAAACAGAGUUAAAAUGCUCCGGGCUAGGUAAAUUCUAAGGAGGAGCUGAAAUGAACUUUUGAAGUUCAAAGAUUACCUGAAGUUCCUGGGUCCAGCUUGUAAUUUUUUUAUAAUGUUCCAGAAGGUAUUUCAGAUACAAAGACAAUCCUUAAAGAGAGAAGGAAGAAGAAGAAAAAUAACCGGGAUGUAUUAGAGACGAAGGAGCCAGCAGCAUUUCUUAACUGCAGCAUUCUCGACGUGUUGGGCUGGACAGUCCUCGUUGUGGGAGCCGUCCUGGGCACUGUAGGACGUUUAGCAGCAUCCCUGGCCUCUGCCUACUGGCUGCCAGGAGCAUCACCCACCCAAGCUGUAAUUAUCAAAGAUGAGAGGGUUUCAAGAAAGCAAACCGAGAGGGUUGGGUAGGCCAGAGAGAACAUGGCGGGCGGAGGAAGGUGGGGCUUCAGUGCAGGGGGGCCACGUCAGUUUUCAAAGAGGCAAAGUAGGAAGUUGGUGGUGAGCACACAGGGUGUAACGCACUUCAAGGUCUUAAUGGGACAGGAGUACGAGCGGUAGAAAAGGAGCUGAAGAAGCAGUGGUCCCAGUGAAGAUGCACCAGCUUGAAGCGCAUGUUUGAUGACAAAGGAGAAAGAUGGAGUGAGAGGCUGUGUACGCUGAAGAAGGAGGUCAUGAUUCAGGAGCUAGUGCACAAGGUGGUCUGGGAGGGAGAGAGAAGGGGAGACUCAGGGAGGGAAGAGCUGCAUUUGGAAAGAGAACGUAGUGAGGGAAGAUAGAGGGAAAGGAGAAAAGAUGGGUGCGGAGGGAGACAGGAGGGGAGCUGAACAGGCUCGUGCCUGGGCCCUUGACCUCUGACAAUGCCACUUGCUGAGAAUUUCCAGCUUGGAAGAGUGAGAAGAAGAAUAUUAUAAUAAUAGCGAUUCAGUAUUAACCACUUGCUGUGUGCCAGGCACCAUGCCAGGAGUUUAACAUGUGAUAUUUUCUGAUCAUUACAAACAGCCCAGCAAGGCAAUGUGUUUGCAUUUAUAGGUGAGACACAGACUCUCAGCAAGGUUAAGCUAUGGAGCUGGUAAGCAGUAGGAUCAGAAUUCAGACCUAGGUCUGUCAUUCUCUUUUCAGAGAGACUAGAAGCUGGAGAGUGAAGGGCUGGGCUGGCUCAUGUGAAGGGUGCGUGAGGAGAGGGGCACUCGGAGGACCCCGAGAUGGCAGAGAUGGGUGAUGCUGACUUGGGCUGUUGGAAAGAGGGAUUUUCUUCUGUGGGAGAAGAAGCAAUUCUUGAUUAUAGUUCUGGUUACAAAAGUUACACAUGCCUGUUACACAAAUCCAAACAGGGCAGAAACCCAUAAAGCGGAAAGUGUCCCCCUGCUGUAUCCUCAGUGCUGGCACACAGUAGGCCUGCAAUAAAUAGUUGUUGAAUGACUGAGUGAAAGUCAAGGCUCACGCAGUCUCAUCAUGCUGGGAUAAUACUCUCAACACUUAUAUGUCUUUUCCACCAGAUUUCUCCUGUGGUCAGAUAUUGGCAUUUGAAAAAAAAAAAAGGGGAGAACACUGUUCAUAUUGUAUUACAACUUGCUUUUCUUUUUUUUUCACAUAAAAAUACUGCAUAUCUUGGAUAUCUGAGAAAGAGCGAUUUUCUAUGUAUGCAGGGAAGCCUUUUAUUUGCAACAAAAUCUUGCAGAAAUAGACACAGUCAACUGAGCUUGCAAAGAAAAAUGUAAGAAGUCCUUUCUUUCCCUUAUCAAAAGAAGCUGAGAAACCAGGCAGGAGGAGAGGGGAGCUAACUUUUAAGGUCCUCCUUAGAUGUUUCCUAUCUUCCAGUGGGACCACACAGUAAUCCUUCAGCAAUCAGAUUUUUUUUUUUUUUUAGGUCACAGCUUUUUAAUUUUUUAAUUGAGAUAUAGUCGAUGUACAAUAUUGUAUGUUUCAGGUGUACAACAUAGUGAUUCACAAUUUUUAAAGGUUAUAUUCCAUUUAUAGUUAUUAUAAAAUAUUGGCUAUAUUCCCUGUGCUAUAAAAUAUAUCGUUGUAGCUUACUUAUUUUAUACAUAGUAGUUUGUACCUCUUUUUUAAAAUUGGAGUAUAGUUGCUUUACGAUGUUGUGUUAGUUUCUACUGUACAGCAAAGUGAAUCAGCUGUAUGUAUUCAUAUAUCCCCUCUUUUUUGAAUUUCCUUCCCAUUCAGGUCACAAAAAUAUGGAACGCUUCAUGAAUUUCCGUGUCGUCGUUGCACAGGGGCCUUGCUAAUCUUCUCUGUAUGGUUCCAAUUUUAGUGUGUGUGCUGCUGAAGUGAGCACAGUAGUUUGCUCCUCUUAUUUCCCUGCCUCUAACUUGUCCCUCCCCCUUUCCCGCUCCCCACUGGUAACCACUAGUUAGUUCUCUGUAUCUGUGAGUCUGUUUCGUUUUUGUGAUGUUCACUAGUUGCAUUUUUUCGAUUCCACAGGUAAGUGACGUCACACAGU